rnacentral:ncRNA from 1 species
GAGUUUAAAGAGUUUUAUUCUGGCUAAUCAGAAAUUUGCUGUUGCAUUAAUUUAUAUACAGAUUUUUGUAUUAUUGUACCUAAAGGGUCAAUAUAAAUUGUUGUAAUAUUUUGUAUUAGUUAUUGAAGAUAUUUUGAUCUAAUAAUUGCUUAUGAAUAUUGAUGAAGUAUGUGCCAGCAAUCGCGGUUAGACAUGGGAUAUAAGUGAAUUUUAUCAGUUAUGUAGUUUUAUUUAUUUGUUUAUUUAUUUAUUUGUUUAUUUAUUGGGUGGAAUUAAUAUUUAUUUUAUUAUGUUAUUAUUAUUAUGAUUCUAUGAAAUCGGUAAAUUAGACUAGGAUUAGAUACCCUAUUAUUUUUGAUUUAAAUUUUUAACUAAGGUAGUAGUAGAUAUGGACUUGAAACUUAAAGAAUUUGGCGGUACUUUAGUCUAUUUAGAGGAAUCUGUUUAUUUAUUGAUAAUCCGCGUUGAACCUUACUUGUUUUUUGUUUGUAUACCGUUGUUGUGAAAAUCUUUUAAGGGUGUAUCUUCUUUAAAUUAAAUUUUAAUGAAAUUUCAAAUCAAGGUGCAGCUAAUAAAUAAGUUGGAAUGGGUUACAUUAUUAUUUAUAUGUGGAUUUAUUGUUGCAAUAAUUAUAAUGAAAGUGGAUUUAAUAGUAAUUAUUUGAAGAUUGUUAUUGUGAAAGCAGCUCUAGAGUAUGUACACAUCGCCCGUCGCUCUCGUUAUGAAGAUGAGAUAAGUCGUAACAUAGUAGGUGUACCGGAAGGUGUAGCUAGAUUGA